rnacentral:rRNA from 1 species
GACGAACGCUGGCGGCGUGCCUAAUACAUGCAAGUAGGACGCAGUUGCGAACGGGUGAGUAACGCGUAGGUAACUACCUAUUUGAGGGGGAUAACCAUUAGAAACGAUAGCUAAUACCGCCUACUAGUAGAUGGAUCUUCGUUGUAUUAGCUAGUAGGGAGGGUAAUGGGCUCCCAAGGCAAAGAUACAUAGCCGAACGGAGAGGGGGAUCGGGCAAACCGGGACUGAGGAAAGGGCCAGAAUCCUAAGGGAGGCAGCAGUAGGGAAUCUUUGGCAAUGGGGGGAACGCUGACCGAGGAACGCCGCGGGAGUGAAGAAGGUUUUCGGAUCGUAAAGCUCUGUUGUUAAGGAAGCGGUACUUAACCAGAAAGGGACGGCUAACUACGUGCCAGCAGCCGCGGUAAUUC